UCUCCGUUGGUGAACCAGCGGAGGGAUCAUUACAGAGUUGCAAAACUCCCAAACCAUUGUGAACGUUACCUAUCCCGUUGCUUCGGCGGGCGGCCCGGGCCCCGCGCCCGGCGCCCCCCGGCCCCCCGUGGGCGCCCGCCGGAGGUAAACCAAACCCUUGAAUUGCAUGGCCUCUCUGAGUCUUCUGUACUGAAUAAGUCAAAACUUACAACAACGGAUCUCUUGGUUCUG
rnacentral:misc_RNA from 1 species